CCGGUAGGGGAUGGGUUUCGACUGGAUUUCCAAUCCAGAGGUCACGAGUUCGAUUCUCGUACCGGG
rnacentral:tRNA from 1 species